UACGUAGGGGGGCAAGCGUUGUCCGGAUUUAUUGGGCGUAAAGAGCGUGUAGGCGGCCAGGUAGGUCGGUUGUGAAAAACUAGAGGCUCAACCUCGGGCUUGCAGUGGGUACGGGCAGACUAGAGUGCGGUAGGGGGAGACUGGAAUUCCUGGUGUAGCGGUGGAAUGCGCAGAUAUCAGGAGGAACACCGGUGGCGAAGGCGGGGUCUCUGGGCAGUAACUGACGCUGAGGAGCGAAAAGCGUGGGGGAGC
rnacentral:rRNA from 1 species